rnacentral:rRNA from 1 species
UACGUAGGAGGCAAGCGUUGUCCGGAAUUACUGGGCGUAAAGCGCGUGUAGGUGGUGGGACAAGUCUGCUGUGAAAGCGCCUGGCUUAACCGGGCGAGGUCGGCGGAAACUGUUCGACUCGAGGACGGUAGAGGGAAGUGGAAUUACCGGUGUAGUAGUGAAAUGCGUUGAUAUCGGUAGGAACACCAACGGCGAAGGCAGCUGCCUGGCUCGAUACUGACGCUGAGGCGCGAAAGCUGGGGGAGCGAAUCGG